rnacentral:rRNA from 1 species
CCCGCAACGAGUCGCAACCCUUGUCUUUAAUUGCCAUCAUUCAGUUGGGCACUUUAAGAGACUGCCGGUGUUAAACCGGAGGAAGUGGGGAUGACGUCAAGUCCUCAUGGCCUUUAUGCCCAGGGCUGCACACGUGCUACAAUGGGUGGUACAAAGAGAUGCAAUCUCGCAAGAGCAAGCAAACCUCAAAAAGCCAUCCUCAGUUCGGAUUGGAGUCUGCAACUCGACUCCAUGAAGUCGGAAUCGCUAGUAAUCGCGGAUCAGCACGCCGCGGUGAAUACGUUCCCAGGCCUU